rnacentral:sRNA from 1 species
UGCAACCGGCCGUCGCGCCAACCCGUCCCUCGAUGCGGCGAUCGGUUCAGGUUCGUCCUGCGGAGGCCCGCCGCUUUCCCUGAAGCGGCGGGUC